rnacentral:rRNA from 1 species
CGUAGGGUGCAGGCGUUAAUCGGAAUUACUGGGCGUAAAGCGUGCGCAGGCGGUUUGCUAAGACAGGUGUGAAAUCCCCGGGCUUAACCUGGGAACUGCGCUUGUAACUGGCAAGCUAGAGUGUGGCAGAGGGGGGUGGAAUUCCACGUGUAGCAGUGAAAUGCGUAGAGAUGUGGAGGAACACCGAUGGCGAAGGCAGCCCCCUGGGCUAACACUGACGCCCAUGCACGAAAGCGUGGGGAGCAAACAGGAUUAGAUACCCUGGUAGUCCACGCCCUAAACUAUGUCAACUGGUUGUCGGGGAAGCAAUUCCUUGGUAACGAAGCUAACGCGUGAAGUUGACCGCCUGGGGAGUACGGCCGCAAGGUUA